UCUAUCUAUGUCCCUCAUCCCUCCUUGC
rnacentral:sRNA from 1 species